GACGAACGCUGGCGGCGUGCCUAAUACAUGCAAGUCGAACGAGAGCGACCGGUGCUUGCUCUGGUCAAUCUAGUGGCGAACGGGUGAGUAACACGUGGGUAACCUGCCCAUCAGAGGGGGAUAACAUCCGGAAACGGAUGCUAAAACCGCAUAGGUCUUCGAACCGCAUGGUUUGAAGAGGAAAAGAGGCGCAAGCUUCUGCUGAUGGAUGGACCCGCGGUGCAUUAGCUAGUUGGUGAGGUAACGGCUCACCAAGGCCGUGAUGCAUAGCCGACCUGAGAGGGUGAUCGGCCACAUUGGGACUGAGACACGGCCCAAACUCCUACGGGAGGCAGCAGUAGGGAAUCUUCCGCAAUGGACGCAAGUCUGACGGAGCAACGCCGCGUGAGUGAAGAAGGUUUUCGGAUCGUAAAACUCUGUUGUUAGAGAAGAACAAGUGCGAGAGUAACUGUUAGCGCCUUGACGGUAUCUAACCAGAAAGCCACGGCUAACUACGUG
rnacentral:rRNA from 1 species